rnacentral:rRNA from 1 species
GCAUAUCAAUAAGCGGAGGAAAAGAAACCAACAGGGAUUGCCCCAGUAACGGCGAGUGAAGCGGCAACAGCUCAAAUUUGAAAUCUGGCCCUUUUGGGUCCGAGUUGUAAUUUGUAGAGGAUGCUUUUGGCAAGGUGCCGCCCGAGUUCCCUGGAACGGGACGCCACAGAGGGUGAGAGCCCCGUCUGGCUGGCCACCGAGCCUCUGUAAAGCUCCUUCGACGAGUCGAGUAGUUUGGGAAUGCUGCUCAAAAUGGGAGGUAUAUGUCUUCUAAAGCUAAAUAUUGGCCAGAGACCGAUAGCGCACAAGUAGAGUGAUCGAAAGAUGAAAAGCACCUUGAAAAGAGGGUUAAAUAGUACGUGAAAUUGUUGAAAGGGAAGCGCUUGUGACCAGACUUGGGCGCGGCGGAUCAUCCGGGGUUCUCCCCGGUGCACUUCGCCGUGUCCAGGCCAGCAUCAGUUCGUCGCGGGGGAAAAAGGCUUCGGGAACGUGGCUCCCCUGGGAGUGUUAUAGCCCGUUGCAUAAUACCCUGCGGUGGACUGAGGACCGCGCAUCUGCAAGGAUGCUGGCGUAAUGGUCACCAGCGACCCGUCUUGAAACACGGACCAAGGAGUCGUCUUCGUAUGCGAGUGUUCGGGUGUCAAACCCCUACGCGUAAUGAAAGUGAACGCAGGUGAGAGCUUCGGCGCAUCAUCGACCGAUCCUGAUGUUCUCGGAUGGAUUUGAGUAAGAGCAUACGGGGCCGGACCCGAAAGAAGGUGAACUAUGCCUGUAUAGGGUGAAGCCAGAGGAAACUCUGGUGGAGGCUCGCAGCGGUUCUGACGUGCAAAUCGAUCGUCAAAUAUGGGCAUGGGGGCGAAAGACUAAUCGAACCUUCUAGUAGCUGGUUUCCGCCGA